UACGGAGGGUGCGAGCGUUGUCCGGAAUCACUGGGCGUAAAGGGCGCGUAGGCGGCCUGAUAAGUAGGGGGUGAAAUCCUGCGGCUUAACCGCAGGGCUGCCUUCUAAACUGUCAGGCUUGAGCACAGUAGAGGCAGGUGGAAUUCCUGGUGUAGCGGUGAAAUGCGCAGAUAUCAGGAGGAACACCAGCGGCGAAGGCGGCGCUCUGGGCCGGUACUGACACUGAGGAGCGAAAGCGUGGGUAGCAAACAGG
rnacentral:rRNA from 1 species